UCAGAUGCUUUUUGAUUUACAUAACUGCAGAAAUUGGAAAUGUUGCGAGUGUUGCAACCUCAGCUCCAAUUUGCAAAUGCCACACUCUGGAUGUUGUUGACAUUUGCCCGCCGUUCGCUAUAUGGUUGAAGGCUUUGCCGACUGGGAUGCUAAGGAUUUCCACAGCAUAUGGCACGUUACCGGGGUCAACAUGGCGUUAGCGCAAUUUCCAAAUUUUCCCUUUCAACCACAGCGCAGCUGCACGUGUCGGGGGCACCACUUUAUGAUUUGCGGCAUCUUGAAAUUGACUUGACCAGUGAGUCGGCAAAUUACUCGAAAUAAAUUCCUAAUGUCUCUAAUGAGGGCGAAGGGCACAAUGGGGACAUCGUCACGAGUCAUUGGAAGUCAACUUGUUGAUGGCAAGCAAUUACAAACUUUUUCAAGUCGAUUCUGUUGGUACUUUAUUUCACUUUGAUUCUUUGGCUAAAGGAAGAGGUUCCACUUGAGCAGCGCUGUUAAACUGAAAGUUAUGAAAUUUUUUAGUUAACUUUAGUUUAAAUUGCCGGCCAUUAAGAGAGUUAAGUUAAAACUUUUUUAAUAAACACACUAGGAGAGGAGUUUAAUCAA